rnacentral:rRNA from 1 species
GGAGUUGCUAGUAAUCGCGGAUCAGAAUGCCGCGGUGAAUGCGUUCCCGGGUCUUGUACACACCGCCCGUCACACCACGGAAGUUGGGGGUGCCCAAAGUUGGCAGGAUAAUAUGUUACCUAAGGCAAAACCGAUGACUGGGGUGAAGUCGUAACAAGGUAGC